AGCGAACGCUGGCGGCAGGCCUAACACAUACAAGUCGAACGAAGUCUUCGGACUUAGUGGCGGACGGGUGAGUAACACGUGGGAACGUGCCUUUAGGUUCGGAAUAACUCAGGGAAACUUGUGCUAAUACCGAAUGUGCCCUUCGGGGGAAAGAUUUAUCGCCUUUAGAGCGGCCCGCGUCUGAUUAGCUAGUUGGUGGGGUAAUGGCCCACCAAGGCUACGAUCAGUAGCUGGUCUGAGAGGAUGACCAGCCACAUUGGGACUGAGACACGGCCCAAACUCCUACGGGAGGCAGCAGUGGGGAAUCUUGCGCAAUGGGCGAAAGCCUGACGCAGCCAUGCCGCGUGGAUGAUGAAGGUCUUAGGAUUGUAAAAUCCUUUCACCGGUGAAGAUAAUGACUGUAGCCGGAGAAGAAGCCCCGGCUAACUUCGUGCCAGCCGCCGCAGUAAGAC
rnacentral:rRNA from 1 species